rnacentral:lncRNA from 10 species
UUAAAUAUAAAGUCAAUAUUGUGAAAAAAAUAAGUCUUUGUUUUAAAAUGACUUACACAUUAUGAAAUUGUGAUCUCAGAUAAAAAUAGAAUGAAAUACCAUUACAAUGAGAAAAACACAAGGAAUGGCUAGCUUAAUUUACCUAAAAAGGAAAAAACAACAUUCUCGAAAAAUGCAAACAACUAUGAAAAUAAAGGAGUUGGCCGGGCGCGGUGGCUCACGCCUGUAAUCCCAGCACUUUGGGAAGCCAAGGUGGGUGGAUCACCUGAGGUCAGGAGUUUGCAACCAGCCUGGCCAGCAUGGUGAAACCCCGUCUCUACUAAAAAUACAAAAAAUUAGCCAGGCAUGGUAUAAAAAGUACUUAAUAUUAUGAAUAGUUUUCAUUAAUAUUACUGGUUAACACUUGACAAUGUCCAAAUAAAAGUAUAUUUAAUCAUCAAGGGGGUCACUGAUUUAUCUUUUGUAAAAUUCAAUCGAUUAUUUUGAGCAUUCCAGGGCACUAUGCAGAUAGUCAUGCUGCAGCCCGAGGUAGUAGUUAAGAACAAGUACCAUGAAGGCCCAUAUAUAAAUCCCAACCGCACCCUGCCUAGCUUAGGC